rnacentral:rRNA from 1 species
UCUCCUGGAAAACGGGUGGUAAUGCCGGAUGCUCCAGUUGACCGCAUGGUCCUCUGGGAAAGCUUUUGCGGUAUGGGAUGGGGUCGCGUCCUAUCAGCUUGAUGGCGGGGUAACGGCCCACCAUGGCUUCGACGGGUAGCCGGCCUGAGAGGGCGACCGGCCACAUUGGGACUGAGAUACGGCCCAGACUCCUACGGGAGGCAGCAGUGGGGAAUAUUGCACAAUGGGCGCAAGCCUGAUGCAGCGACGCCGCGUGCGGGAUGACGGCCUUCGGGUUGUAAACCGCUUUUGACUGGGAGCAAGCCCUUCGGGGUGAGUGUACCUUUCGAAUAAGCACCGGCUAACUACGUGCCAGCAGCCGCGGUAAUACGUAGGGUGCAAGCGUUAUCCGGAAUUAUUGGGCGUAAAGGGCUCGUAGGCGGUUCGUCGCGUCCGGUGUGAAAGUCCAUCGCUUAACGGUGGAUCCGCGCCGGGUACGGGCGGGCUUGAGUGCGGUAGGGGAGACUGGAAUUCCCGGUGUAACGGUGGAAUGUGUAGAUAUCGGAAAAGAACACCACA